GAGUCUCCAAGCUGAGGAGCCCAAGGAGACCAGCGACCGUGACAGGCUGGGAGCAGCCUGGACAGUCGUGCUCAGAGCCUCGGAGGGCACCGGCCCCUCGGACACCGUGACAUAGCACCUCUGGGCCCCAGCCCCAGAGAGCCCCAGGGUGGGGACUCGUGACAGCAGCUGUAGGACGCUCGCCUCCUCAGCAUGUGGGUGUUAGAUGCUAAAGCCAGGGCGAUCUCAAACACACAGCGCGGCCAGUCAGCACGCAGUGUCUGCCACAUUAUCUUUUAUUUAUUUGUAAUUGUUGUGGGUGUUGUGAGACAAGGUCUCUCUGACUUUGAAUUCCUCCUGCCUCAGCCUCCCCACAUCUGUAUUACAAGCGUGCACUGCUGCGCCCUCCACCAUGUCUUGAGAUGCGGUUGGAACAUGUGAGUCUGCUCCGGCUGGGGCGGCUCUUCAGUUGCUCUGAUGGCGAGGCUGUACCUGCUCUGUGUCACGCGGUCCCCUCCACCCCGCUGUCCCUUUGGUGUGCAGCUUUGUGUAGAGUGCGGGUCCCGACAUUCAGGGAGGGGAGGGACAGAUGCACUUGGCCUCAGCCGUCUGGGCAGCCCCGGGUGCCCUCAUCGCAGCCUCCCCCGCUCUGGAACCAGAUGUCUCCACCGGGCCCUCGGAGGGUCGCACGGAUGGCCUGGCUUCCAGCUGGAAAAUGCCAGGAGUGACAAAGACCAAGUGGCCUUCGCCUCCGUGGUGCUUAUUGGUGGCCUGGAGACACGGUGGCUCCAGAAACCUCAAGACACCACAUAAUAAAUUCACAGAGAUGUCAUGACCGUCUUUCCUAAACGUGUGGGGUCUGCAUCUGAUCGUCGUGCACCGAUCAUUUAAAAAACAAAACCAAAUAGGCGCUUGACCUGGAAGAGUGCUGUAGAGUCUGUUCUGAGAACGGAGUAAGGAGAGCUAAGGUGAACCAUGAAAGCCUCAUCCAUCAUCCUGCUGAGGAUGCAUUUGCGCAGCCCCCACCCUUGAAUCAAGACCCCUGAAGCUCACUACCUUUAAAAAUUUUGAAAAGUAAUCAAGACUAAUAUUUCACUGCCUUUUCUGGUGGUACUGAGGACUGAGCUUGUGGCCUCAGGCAUGGUAGGUAAGAGCUCUUUUCACAUUUCUCCUUGAUGUGAAAUUUGUACAUCGAAGGUGUGUAAAAUUUGGCAGACAAGACAAAGCAGCCUAGUAGAAAGCUUUUGCCCACACUGAUCAACACGAGGUGGGAACACUUGUUUUCCCUCCCCUGAAGCAUGUGAUUUCCCAGAAUGUCCGGGCGUCUCUCAUCUUCUCCGUGCUUCUGACUGAGGACUGGGGCUCCCGUGGGUUCUGGUGAGGGCCGGGAGUCUCCUCAGAGCAGAGACACGGCCAGGCUGCUCCUGCCUGCUUUGUGUCCCCACCAGCCCCGUGUUCGCGAAUUGACUGGAGGACAGCACUGUGCGAGGCCCGCUGGGCAAAUCCUGUCUUGAUCCCAGAAGUGGACACUGCUUUUAGACAUAUUUUUGUGGGGUCCCAGAAACUGACUUUUUUUUUUU